rnacentral:rRNA from 1 species
UACAGAGGUGGCAAGCGUUGUUCGGAAUUACUGGGCGUAAAGGGCGCGUAGGCGGCCAUCUAAGUCAGACGUGAAAUCCCCCGGCUUAACCUGGGAACUGCGUCUGAUACUGGAAGGCUUGAGUAUGGGAGAGGGAUGUAGAAUUCCAGGUGUAGCGGUGAAAUGCGUAGAUAUCUGGAGGAACACCGGUGGCGAAGGCGACAUCCUGGACCGGUAUUGACGCUGAGGCGCGAAAGCCAGGGGAGCAAACGGG